AUUAGUAAGAGUUUAAUGUUAGCUCCGAAUGAACGCUAUCUAGAAGCCUUACACAUGCAAAUCGUACGUAUAAUUAAAGAUUUAAUUAUGAGUGGUGAACAGGUGAGUAAUAAUAGAAAUCUACCCAUUAAUAUAGGUGAAAUACUUUUGAAAGAAUAAUUUUAUUCGUUAAUGGAUGAGUCUAUAUUGGGGGAGGUAGUUGUGGAGAUAAGAACUUCACAAGCCGAAGAACCCUAGUUAUAUUUGAAAGAAUUAAUAAUCACAUUGGCUCUGGAACAACAGUCAAGAUUUUCAUAUAAGAAAGUCCAGCAGUGGGGAAUAUUGGUCAAUGAUCGAAAGAUUGAACCAGCUAUCUAGAAGGAUAAUAUCCUAAUCAAAGAGAAGAUAAUGACGUUAUCUUUGCUAUAGUCUCGACCCAAUCUCGUGCCAGCAGUCGCGGUAAGACGAGUGAGGCAAGCGUUAUUCAUAAUGACUAGGUCUAAAGGGUACGUAGAUGGUUUAACUAACUAGAGUCGAAUAGAAGAAUAAAGAAUUUUGAGAGUAGAGAUGAAAUUCAAUAAUCCUCAAAGGACUGCUUAUGGCGAAAGCAUUAUUCUAGUUAACGACUGACAUUGAGGUACGUAAGCAUAAGUAGCGAAAAGGAUUAGAUACCCUUGUAGUUUAUGCUGUCAACGAUGAGUGCUCAAGAUUAGGUUUAUCAAAUUUAGUCUUGUCUUAAGUGAAGAUUUUAAGCAUUCCACCUGGGGAGUACUGUCGCAAGGCUGAAACCCAAAACAUUAGACGGUCACAGAGAUCAGCAGUGAAGCAUGUUGUUUAAUUCGAUAAUCCACGAUAAACCUUACCACUUCUUGCAUAUUAUUAAGAAAAUCCUAUUUUAAAAUUACAAUUUAGAUAUUAAAGUAUUAUUUUUAUAUAAAUACAGGUGUUGCAUGGCUGUCUUUAGUUCGUGUUGUAAAAUGUCUGGUUUAUUCCGUCAACGAACGAAACCCUUAUCUUUAAUUUCUUAAACUUAAAGAAAGAUCUUUCGAUAAGAAAGAGUAACUAGGAUUAAGACAAGUCCUCAUGACCCUUAUGGAGUGGGCUACAGACGUGCUAUAAAAAUUUCUACAAUAGGAUGCAAAGAUGAAAAUCAGAGCUAAUCCCUGAAAGGAAAUUUAAGUACAGAUAAGAAUCUGAAACUCGAUUCUUUGAAGAUGGAAUUGCUAGUAAUCGUCUAUCAGCAUGAGACGGUGAAAUAAAAAUCUGUGAUGUACUAACUACUCGUCAAGCGCGGAAAUUGAUAAGAAAUAUCAAGUUUAUACGUCUAUUUCUUAAAGAUCUGUGCUAAGUCGAAAUAAGGUAGCUGUAGGGGAACCUGUAGCUGAAUUAUUAAAUCC
rnacentral:rRNA from 1 species